UUAAGCGACUAAGCGUACACGGUGGAUGCCCUGGCAGUCAGAGGCGAUGAAGGACGUGCUAAUCUGCGAUAAGCGUCGGUAAGGUGAUAUGAACCGUUAUAACCGGCGAUUUUCGAAUGGGGAAACCCAGUGUGAUUCGUCACACUAUCAUUAACUGAAUCCAUAGGUUAAUGAGGCGAACCGGGGGAACUGAAACAUCUAAGUACCCCGAGGAAAAGAAAUCAACCGAGAUUCCCCCAGUAGCGGCGAGCGAACGGGGAGCAGCCCAGAGCCUGAAUCAGUGUGUGUGUUAGUGGAAGCGUCUGGAAAGGCGCGCGAUACAGGGUGACAGCCCCGUACACAAAAAUGCACAUACUGUGAGCUCGAUGAGUAGGGCGGGACACGUGGUAUCCUGUCUGAAUAUGGGGGGACCAUCCUCCAAGGCUAAAUACUCCUGACUGACCGAUAGUGAACCAGUACCGUGAGGGAAAGGCGAAAAGAACCCCGGCGAGGGGAGUGAAAAAGAACCUGAAACCGUGUACGUACAAGCAGUGGGAGCACAGAGCAAUCUGUGUGACUGCGUACCUUUUGUAUAAUGGGUCAGCGACUUAUAUUCUGUAGCAAGGUUAACCGAAUAGGGGAGCCGAAGGGAAACCGAGUCUUAACUGGGCGUUAAGUUGCAGGGUAUAGACCCGAAACCCGGUGAUCUAGCCAUGGGCAGGUUGAAGGUUGGGUAACACUAACUGGAGGACCGAACCGACUAAUGUUGAAAAAUUAGCGGAUGACUUGUGGCUGGGGGUGAAAGGCCAAUCAAACCGGGAGAUAGCUGGUUCUCCCCGAAAGCUAUUUAGGUAGCGCCUCGUGAAUUCAUCUCCGGGGGUAGAGCACUGUUUCGGCAAGGGGGUCAUCCCGACUUACCAACCCGAUGCAAACUGCGAAUACCGGAGAAUGUUAUCACGGGAGACACACGGCGGGUGCUAACGUCCGUCGUGAAGAGGGAAACAACCCAGACCGCCAGCUAAGGUCCCAAAGUCAUGGUUAAGUGGGAAACGAUGUGGGAAGGCCCAGACAGCCAGGAUGUUGGCUUAGAAGCAGCCAUCAUUUAAAGAAAGCGUAAUAGCUCACUGGUCGAGUCGGCCUGCGCGGAAGAUGUAACGGGGCUAAACCAUGCACCGAAGCUGCGGCAGCGACGCUUAUGCGUUGUUGGGUAGGGGAGCGUUCUGUAAGCCUGUGAAGGUGUACUGUGAGGUAUGCUGGAGGUAUCAGAAGUGCGAAUGCUGACAUAAGUAACGAUAAAGCGGGUGAAAAGCCCGCUCGCCGGAAGACCAAGGGUUCCUGUCCAACGUUAAUCGGGGCAGGGUGAGUCGACCCCUAAGGCGAGGCCGAAAGGCGUAGUCGAUGGGAAACAGGUUAAUAUUCCUGUACUUGGUGUUACUGCGAAGGGGGGACGGAGAAGGCUAUGUUGGCCGGGCGACGGUUGUCCCGGUUUAAGCGUGUAGGCUGGUUUUCCAGGCAAAUCCGGAAAAUCAAGGCUGAGGCGUGAUGACGAGGCACUACGGUGCUGAAGCAACAAAUGCCCUGCUUCCAGGAAAAGCCUCUAAGCAUCAGGUAACAUCAAAUCGUACCCCAAACCGACACAGGUGGUCAGGUAGAGAAUACCAAGGCGCUUGAGAGAACUCGGGUGAAGGAACUAGGCAAAAUGGUGCCGUAACUUCGGGAGAAGGCACGCUGAUAUGUAGGUGAAGUCCCUCGCGGAUGGAGCUGAAAUCAGUCGAAGAUACCAGCUGGCUGCAACUGUUUAUUAAAAACACAGCACUGUGCAAACACGAAAGUGGACGUAUACGGUGUGACGCCUGCCCGGUGCCGGAAGGUUAAUUGAUGGGGUUAGCGCAAGCGAAGCUCUUGAUCGAAGCCCCGGUAAACGGCGGCCGUAACUAUAACGGUCCUAAGGUAGCGAAAUUCCUUGUCGGGUAAGUUCCGACCUGCACGAAUGGCGUAAUGAUGGCCAGGCUGUCUCCACCCGAGACUCAGUGAAAUUGAACUCGCUGUGAAGAUGCAGUGUACCCGCGGCAAGACGGAAAGACCCCGUGAACCUUUACUAUAGCUUGACACUGAACAUUGAGCCUUGAUGUGUAGGAUAGGUGGGAGGCUUUGAAGUGUGGACGCCAGUCUGCAUGGAGCCGACCUUGAAAUACCACCCUUUAAUGUUUGAUGUUCUAACGUUGACCCGUGAUCCGGGUUGCGGACAGUGUCUGGUGGGUAGUUUGACUGGGGCGGUCUCCUCCUAAAGAGUAACGGAGGAGCACGAAGGUUGGCUAAUCCUGGUCGGACAUCAGGAGGUUAGUGCAAUGGCAUAAGCCAGCUUGACUGCGAGCGUGACGGCGCGAGCAGGUGCGAAAGCAGGUCAUAGUGAUCCGGUGGUUCUGAAUGGAAGGGCCAUCGCUCAACGGAUAAAAGGUACUCCGGGGAUAACAGGCUGAUACCGCCCAAGAGUUCAUAUCGACGGCGGUGUUUGGCACCUCGAUGUCGGCUCAUCACAUCCUGGGGCUGAAGUAGGUCCCAAGGGUAUGGCUGUUCGCCAUUUAAAGUGGUACGCGAGCUGGGUUUAGAACGUCGUGAGACAGUUCGGUCCCUAUCUGCCGUGGGCGCUGGAGAACUGAGGGGGGCUGCUCCUAGUACGAGAGGACCGGAGUGGACGCAUCACUGGUGUUCGGGUUGUCAUGCCAAUGGCACUGCCCGGUAGCUAAAUGCGGAAGAGAUAAGUGCUGAAAGCAUCUAAGCACGAAACUUGCCCCGAGAUGAGUUCUCCCUGACUCCUUGAGAGUCCUGAAGGAACGUUGAAGACGACGACGUUGAUAGGCCGGAUGUGUAAGCGCAGCGAUGCGUUGAGCUAACCGGUACUAAUGAACCGUGAGGCUUAACCUU
rnacentral:rRNA from 1 species